GAGAAGAGAAGAAAAAACGUUAGAAACGUCAAGGCAAGGGAUUGUGGAUUGGCCAUUCCUAACGGACAUUGUAAAGCAGGAAGCACAGAUUGCAGCACCAAUCCCCAACAAUACAACAACAGGGUCGUCACCAAACGUUAUAAUGAGCUUGACCGCAUUCUAUAAAAUUGACUGUAACUCAGGCGAAGUGUCACCGUCUCACUCUUUUCCAUUCCUUAGGGUUCCUCCUCCUCUGUUCUCCUUCCUCCCCGAAACUUCUUAUUAGGUUUUCCAAUUUCACAUUCCUUCUUCUUGCCUUAACGUCCCCUUGGUCUUAUGGCGAAAACUAGACCCGGCAGGAGAGACCUCGAUUCUUACACUAUCAGAGGCACCAACAAGGUCGUUAGAGCGAGCGAAGUGGGGUGUUUGAAAAACUUGUGCUUUUGUGGUGGAUUUGCAGCUGGAGACACUGUGUUAAUGCGACCUUCCGACACCAGCAAGCCUCCGUACGUGGCGCGAGUGGAGAAGAUCGAACAGGACAAUAGGAGCAACGUUAAAGUCCGUGUCAGGUGGUAUUAUCGGCCGGAAGAGUCUAUUGGGGGACGCAGGCAAUUCCAUGGAGCUAAAGAGCUGUUUUUGUCGGACCAUUAUGAUGUUCAGAGCGCUCACACCAUUGAAGGCAAGUGUAUCGUGCACUCUUUCAAGAACUACACCAAGCUCGAAAAUGUAGGGGCUGAAGAUUACUAUUGUAGAUUCGAAUACAAGGCUGCUACUGGGGCUUUCACACCUGACCGUGUAGCUGUGUAUUGCAAAUGCGAAAUGCCUUAUAACCCAGAUGACCUCAUGGUGCAAUGCGAGGGGUGCAAAGAUUGGUACCAUCCUGCUUGUGUGGGCAUGACUAUUGAAGAAGCAAAGAAACUGGACCAUUUUAUGUGUUCUGAAUGUUCAUCUGAUGACGACAUGAAAAAGAUGCCCCAAGCUACAUAUUCUGCAUCUCCAGCUGAUGAUGGCAAGGCCCACUGCAUCAACAUUGUGCAGCACUGAGCUGGUUUUUGGUUUGACUAGGUUUAGGUAUGUUUGGGCUAGGCAUGUAACUGCAAAUCUGGAAAUGUGCUAGGUGGAGCCCAAGAGGAGGAAAAGAUGACCGCUAUGCAGAAGAGUUUAAACCCUUUGGAGAGAGAGAGACAGACAGACAUGAAAUGACUCAUGCUCAAUAAUUUGGCUAUAUCUUAGCUGUUGGGUGUGUUUUGGUGUUGUUUUGUACAGCUUCGACCAGAGGCUAUCAUCAACUAAUUAAUGAUUAUAGAACAUCCUUGUGUAUUUGGCUCAGGCUGUAAGGCUAUUAUUAUGUAUGUAUCUUAGAUUUAUCAUCGUUUUGAUCUGAACUGUCCCCUUCUGUGAUACAUGAAACCUUAAACAUGUCAGUAAAGAACCAAAUUCUCAUCUGAAA